rnacentral:rRNA from 1 species
GACGGAUGGGGCUAGCGUUGUUCGGAAUUACUGGGCGUAAAGGGCGCGUAGGCGGUUUGCUAAGUUAGACGUGAAAGCCCUGGGCUCAACCCAGGAAUAGCGUUUAAUACUGGCAAACUAGAGUAUGGUAGAGGUAAGCGGAAUUCCUAGUGUAGAGGUGAAAUUCGUAGAUAUUAGGAAGAACACCAGAGGCGAAGGCGGCUUACUGGGCCAUUACUGACGCUGAGGCGCGAAAGCGUGGGGAGCAAAC